UACGGAGGGUGCAAGCGUUAUCCGGAUUCACUGGGUUUAAAGGGAGCGUAGGUGGGUUGGUAAGUCAGUGGUGAAAUCCUCCAAGCUUAACUUGGAACUGCCGUUGAUACUAUAGCUCUUGAAUGUUGUGGAGGUGAGCGGAAUAUGUCAUGUAGCGGUGAAAUGCUUAGGAUAAUGACAUUAGAACACCAAUUGCGAAAGGCAGCCUACACUAAGCA
rnacentral:rRNA from 1 species